rnacentral:lncRNA from 1 species
GCACGGGAGGGGCAGAGAAAGAGACACAAAAUCCCAACUGGGCUCCAUGCUUUAAGUGCAGAGCCUGAUACAGGGCUCAGACCCACAUAGUGUAAGAUCAUGACCUGAGCCAAAGUCAAGAGUCAGGUGCUUGGGGCACCUGAAUGGCUCAGUCGGUUAAGCGUCCAGCUUCGGCUCAGGUCAUGAUCUCACGGUUCGUAGUUUCGAGCCCCACGUUGGGCUCUGUGCUGACAGCUACCUCAGAGCCUGGAGCCUGCAUCAGAUUCUGUGUCUCCCUCUCUCUCUGACCCUCUACUGCUCAUGCUGUCCCUCCCUGUCUCUCAGAAAUAAAUAAAAAACGGGGGGAAAAAAAGAGGCAGUUGCUCAACCAUCUGAGCUACCCAGGUGCCCCAAAGUUGAAAUUAAUUCUUUAAUAGUUCCCACUAACUAUAUACUCAUAGAAAAAACACCUAUACGGGACUAUAUUCAUUCAGAAUCAAACAUUAUGAGCAACUGCCUAAUCACUGCAAACAAAGAGUAAGAACAAUUCAGAGUACACUGUCAGUCAUUGACUGUUUACUGACUGCAUGCCUAUUCUUGCCAAUGCUCUCAGGAAGCGCGGGCUGGUGGGAGACACACAGCACUGUCCUCUGGUUUUAGUACAAUGCUAAGGGCAUUUGCUAAUUCACAGGAAGGGCUCUGGGAUGUCCAAGGGUGAAAUGGGACAGCAGGGGAGGUGACGGGGAAAGGACACCGGAAAGACUCUGACACUCGACCAGGGCACUUCUCCUGCGUGAAGGGCCGCUCCGCCGUGGAGGACAAACAGGAUCAGAAUUGGGUUUUGGAACAACCACUGCAGAAGCAGACAACAUGGGGCAGAUGAGAGAAAGCGCACAGCGAGGAGGCCGGGGACGAUCCGCUGUGAGAGUCUAGGUCCGCUAUCCCUCACCAACGCCUGCAUUUUACACCUGAGCAAACCAAGGCCCCCAGAAGUGACGAGAAAGGGCGGAGGGACUCACCAGCUACCUCCAGACGCGGACACCCCAGGCCACCUCCACGCUGCUACCCUGCCUGCUUCACACACCAUGACCACGAUGGCAAUCAGGACAACGACGGCUUCCCUCAGCCACUGCCGAGCCAGUGAGAAUGGCACCUGUCACCCCGGUGCCUCCCCCCAGUGCCCAGCGCCAUGUGGGGAAGGCCACAGGGACAGUGUGCCCGGAUCUUGUCAGGUGAGAGGGCUUAACAAGACCUGCACUCACCAAGCAUCUGCACCAGACACCUGUCACACAUCAUUGAGAGAGGGAGCACAA